UACAGAGGGUGCGAGCGUUAAUCGGAAUUACUGGGCGUAAAGCGCACGUAGGUGGCGACGUAAGUCGGGUGUGAAAGCCCCGGGCUCAACCUGGGAAUUGCAUUCGAGACUGCAUUGCUGGAGUACGGAAGAGGAGGGCGGAAUUCCCGGUGUAGCGGUGAAAUGCGUAGAUAUCGGGAGGAACAUCAGUGGCGAAGGCAGCUCUCUGGGACGGUACUGACGCUGAGACGCGAAAGCGUGGGGAGCGAACAGG
rnacentral:rRNA from 1 species